rnacentral:lncRNA from 1 species
CAGAGGAGGAAGGGUUAAGCUAAGGCCUAAAAGAUGGGAAGAAGCCGGUUCUUGGAAGAUCUGGAAUAAGGGUAUUCAAGGCAGAGGAAACAGCAUGAGCCAAGGGCCCACGGCAGGAAGUCUGAGGAAUGGAAAGACAGCUGGAGGAGUGGGAGCUGAGAGAGUGCAGCGUAACAUAAGGCCAUCAAACUCCAAAUGAUCACGCAACCAGAGCCUCAGCUGAUGGCCCCUUCUUCCGGGGAUCCUCAGAUCGGUCUUUGAGGGAGCUCUGACUGCCGUUUCCCCAAAACAGCGCCCCCUGUCAGCAGGAGGCUAAGAUGGGUCUUCAUCCUUAUCCUUUCUAACUGCAGUCAGAUGGACUUCUUCAGAGCGGAGAAUGAGACAGCCAGGUGUAAAGGGGUCCCCAGAACACUAGGAGAAUGGGGGGUGAGGCCACAGAAUUUAGUGCCCUUUGCAGGGGCGAGGAGCCUGGCCCCUCCUGUUCCAGGGUGGAACCUGGGAUUCAAUCUGUAAGGUGGGAAACCGACUAGCAGGAGUCUUGCUCCGCUGAGGGUCCCUGUUUCCCCUUUUUUUCCUUUUCACCCAAUAAAUUCCAUUUUUCUCACUCUUCAAAGUGUCUUUGAGCCUAAUAUUUCAUGGUCUUGUAACAAGAACCCUGUCUUUACCUGAACUAAGAAGAAUGUCCUACAACGUUAGGACAGAUCCCCUUCUUAAUCCAGAGGAGCCAUUAAC